UUGAUCCAUUGUUGUCUUGUGUACUGCAGAUCUCACUUCGCGUAGUCAUGGUCUUCCCCGCAGUCACAGUCGCAAUCGCCCUCUACGCAGUUUGUAGCUGCCAUCAUCCUCCGCGCAGUUCCCACCUGCUCACGGAGUAUUAUGGGAGUGGAGAGACAAAGAAAGUGUCAUGGAGAGAAUCACAACUCAAAGGGUUGCGUCGUUUUCUCAUUGAAAAAGAAGAAGAUAUUUUGAAGGCAUUAAUGCUCGACUUAGGAAAGCAUCAAGUUGAAGCUUUUAGAGAUGAGAUAGAAACUUUGAUGAAGUCCUUGAAUUUUGCAUUGAGUAACUUAAAAUAUUGGAUAUCAGGCAAAAAGGCUAAAUUGCCACAAAUAGCACUGCUUAGUAGUGCAGAAAUUGUUCCUGAACCUCUGGGCCUAGUCGUCAUUAUUUCAUCUUGGAAUUUCCCCUUUGGUUUAUCCUUGGAGCCACUAAUAGGAGCAGUAGCAGCUGGAAACACAGUGGUCUUAAAGCCUUCAGAGUUGUCACCAGCAUGUUCUUCCAUACUUGUCCUUGGACUUCCCAAUUUCUUGGACCUCCCAAUCAUAAGGAAGCAAUCUUCAGAGUUAUAGCUGCUAUUCUUCAUCUUGGAAACAUUAACUUUGCAAAAUCAGAGGAAGAAACUGAUUCAUCAGUUCUAGAAAAUGAAGAGUCCAAGUUGCAUCUCCAAAUAACCGCAGAACUUCUCAUGUGCGAUCCUAGUGCUUUGGAAGAUGCACUUUGUAAGCGUGUGAUGAUUACCCCAGAGGAAGUUAUUAAAAGAAGUCUUGAUCCUCUUGGUGCAACGGUUAGCAGGGAUGGUUUAGCCAAAACACUAUAUUCUUGUUUAUUUGACUGGUACUAUGUUAAUGUCAAGUGUAAAAUUAUGAAUUUAAAAUAUGAAAAAUGUGUCCUAUCCUAUGUUUAUUGCACUUAUGUUAUUUGAAUCUGAAUAAUUUUUUAUCUGUUCUAUUGUUAU